rnacentral:rRNA from 1 species
UACGGAGGGUGCAAGCGUUAUCCGGAAUCAUUGGGUUUAAAGGGUCCGCAGGCGGGCCUAUAAGUCAGUGGUGAGAUCUCACAGCUUAACUGUGAAACUGCCAUUGAUACUGUAGGUCUUGAAUUCGGUCGAAGUGGGCGGAAUAUGACAUGUAGCGGUGAAAUGCUUAGAUAUGUCCUAGAACACCGAUAGCGAAGGCAGCUCACUAGGCCUGGAUUGACGCUCAUGGACGAAAGCGUGGGGAGCAAACAGG